AAAACGGCAGAAGUUCUGGGAAGCUGUCGGGAUUGCACAUUCACCAUAGACGAAACCGAGAGCUCAAGCGACGACUAGUUGAAGCGGUGGGAGAUAGUACACAAUCAGGAGCUAUGGCGGACGGAACCUCGAGAAGAAGUCAACGGCGUGCAUCUGUUGAGGCAACGAGCAAAUUCCGCAAGAAUGCAAAAAGAACACAACAUUCAACAUCGAAUGCCAUUAAUUCGAUCCUAGAUGAUGAUUUUAUAAGUCCGCUAGUACGAGCUACACGAGCAGAAAACACACAAACAAACGAUGCUUCCGAAUACGAAUUCGCAACGUUUGAAACGAUAAAUUAACUUAAAGUUGUAAUCUCUGUUUGAAUAUUAAAUGAGUUUAUUUAUUUGUAA